rnacentral:rRNA from 1 species
GGACUACUGGGGUUUCUAAUCCUGUUUGCUACCCACGCUUUCGUGCCUCAGCGUCAGUUUUAUGCCAGGGCGCUGCCUUCGCCAUCGGUAUUCCUCCAAAUCUCUACGCAUUUCACUGCUACACUUGGAAUUCUACACCCCUCUCACAAACUCUAGGAAUACAGUCUUAAAUGCACGACCAAGGUUAAGCCCUGGCUUUUCACAUCUAACUUAUAUUCCCGCCUACGCACCCUUUACGCCCAAUUAUUCCGAUUAACGCUCGCACCCUACGUAUUACCGCGGCUGCUGGCAC